rnacentral:rRNA from 1 species
UAAAAUUUAAAAUUAUUAUACUAAAAUAGUAAAUAAUUAUUUAUUGAAACUUAAAUAAUUUGGCGGUAUUUUAGUUCAUUUAGAGGAAUCUGUUUAAUAAUUGAUAUUCCACGAUUAAAUUUACUUAAUUUAUAAUUUUGUAUAUCGUUGUUAUAAAAAUAUUUUUUAAUAAAAUUAAU